AGUGAACGCUGGCGGUAGGCCUAACACAUGCAAGUCGAACGGCAGCACAGGAGAGCUUGCUCUCUGGGUGGCGAGUGGCGGACGGGUGAGGAAUACAUCGGAAUCUACUCUGUCGUGGGGGAUAACGUAGGGAAACUUACGCUAAUACCGCAUACGACCUACGGGUGAAAGCAGGGGACCUUCGGGCCUUGCGCGAUUGAAUGAGCCGAUGUCGGAUUAGCUAGUUGGCGGGGUAAAGGCCCACCAAGGCGACGAUCCGUAGCUGGUCUGAGAGGAUGAUCAGCCACACUGGAACUGAGACACGGUCCAGACUCCUACGGGAGGCAGCAGUGGGGAAUAUUGGACAGUGGGCGCAAGCCUGAUCCAGCCAUACCGCGUGGGUGAAGAAGGCCUUCGGGUUGUAAAGCCCUUUUGUUGGGAAAGAAAUCCAGCUGGCUAAUACCCGGUUGGGAUGACGGUACCCAAAGAAUAAGCACCGGCUAACUUCGUGCCAGCCGCCGCGGUAACAC
rnacentral:rRNA from 1 species